rnacentral:rRNA from 1 species
AGAUUAAGUUAUUAAGGGCGCACGGUGGAUGCCUUGGCACUAGAAGCCGAUGAAGGACGUUACUAACGACGAUAUGCUUUGGGUAGCUGUAAGUAAGCGUUGAUCCAGAGAUUUCCGAAUGGGGGAACCCAGCAUGAGUUAUGUCAUGUUAUCGACAUGUGAAUUCAUAGCAUGUCAGAAGGCAGACCCGGAGAACUGAAACAUCUUAGUACCCGGAGGAAGAGAAAGAAAAAUCGAUUCCCUGAGUAGCGGCGAGCGAAACGGGAAGAGCCCAAACCAACAAGCUUGCUUGUUGGGGUUGUAGGACACUCUAUACGGAGUUACAAAAGAACAUGUUAGACGAAUCAUCUGGAAAGAUGAAUCAAAGAAGGUAAUAAUCCUGUAGUCGAAAACAUAUUCUCUCUUGAGUGGAUCCUGAGUACGACGGAGCACGUGAAAUUCCGUCGGAAUCUGGGAGGACCAUCUCCUAAGGCUAAAUACUCUCUAGUGACCGAUAGUGAACCAGUACCGUGAGGGAAAGGUGAAAAGUACCCCGGAAGGGGAGUGAAAGAGAACUUGAAACCGUGUGCUUACAAGUAGUCAGAGCCCGUUAAUGGGUGAUGGCGUGCCUUUUGUAGAAUGAACCGGCGAGUUACGAUCUGAUGCAAGGUUAAGCAGCAAAUGUGGAGCCGCAGCGAAAGCGAGUCUGAAUAGGGCGUUGAGUAUUUGGUCGUAGACCCGAAACCAGGUGAUCUACCCUUGGUCAGGUUGAAGUUCAGGUAACACUGAAUGGAGGACCGAACCGACUUACGUUGAAAAGUGAGCGGAUGAACUGAGGGUAGCGGAGAAAUUCCAAUCGAACUUGGAGAUAGCUGGUUCUCUCCGAAAUAGCUUUAGGGCUAGCCUCAAGUGAUGAUUAUUGGAGGUAGAGCACUGUUUGGACGAGGGGCCCCUCUCGGGUUACCGAAUUCAGACAAACUCCGAAUGCCAAUUAAUUUAACUUGGGAGUCAGAACAUGGGUGAUAAGGUCCGUGUUCGAAAGGGAAACAGCCCAGACCACCAGCUAAGGUCCCAAAAUAUAUGUUAAGUGGAAAAGGAUGUGGCGUUGCCCAGACAACUAGGAUGUUGGCUUAGAAGCAGCCAUCAUUUAAAGAGUGCGUAAUAGCUCACUAGUCGAGUGACACUGCGCCGAAAAUGUACCGGGGCUAAACAUAUUACCGAAGCUGUGGAUUGUCCUUUGGACAAUGGUAGGAGAGCGUUCUAAGGGCGUCGAAGCAUGAUCGCAAGGACAUGUGGAGCGCUUAGAAGUGAGAAUGCCGGUGUGAGUAGCGAAAGACGGGUGAGAAUCCCGUCCACCGAUUGACUAAGGUUUCCAGAGGAAGGCUCGUCCGCUCUGGGUUAGUCGGGUCCUAAGCUGAGGCCGACAGGCGUAGGCGAUGGAUAACAGGUUGAUAUUCCUGUACCACCUAGUAUCGUUUUAAUCGAUGGGGGGGACGCAGUAGGAUAGGCGAAGCGUGCUGUUGGAGUGCACGUCCAAGCAGUAAGGCUGAGUGUUAGGCAAAUCCGGCACUCAUAAGGCUGAGCUGUGAUGGGGAGAGGAAAUUGUUUCCUCGAGUCGUUGAUUUCACACUGCCGAGAAAAGCCUCUAGAUAGAUAACAGGUGCCCGUACCGCAAACCGACACAGGUAGUCAAGAUGAGAAUUCUAAGGUGAGCGAGCGAACUCUCGUUAAGGAACUCGGCAAAAUGACCCCGUAACUUCGGGAGAAGGGGUGCUCUUUAGGGUUCACGCCCAGAAGAGCCGCAGUGAAUAGGCCCAAGCGACUGUUUAUCAAAAACACAGGUCUCUGCUAAACCGUAAGGUGAUGUAUAGGGGCUGACGCCUGCCCGGUGCUGGAAGGUUAAGAGGAGUGGUUAGCUUCUGCGAAGCUACGAAUCGAAGCCCCAGUAAACGGCGGCCGUAACUAUAACGGUCCUAAGGUAGCGAAAUUCCUUGUCGGGUAAGUUCCGACCCGCACGAAAGGCGUAACGAUUUGGGCACUGUCUCAACGAGAGACUCGGUGAAAUCAUAGUACCUGUGAAGAUGCAGGUUACCCGCGACAGGACGGAAAGACCCCGUGGAGCUUUACUGUAGCCUGAUAUUGAAAUUCGGCACAGCUUGUACAGGAUAGGUAGGAGCCUUUGAAACGUGAGCGCUAGCUUACGUGGAGGCGUUGGUGGGAUACUACCCUAGCUGUGUUGGCUUUCUAACCCGCACCACUUAUCGUGGUGGGAGACAGUGUCAGGCGGGCAGUUUGACUGGGGCGGUCGCCUCCUAAAAGGUAACGGAGGCGCUCAAAGGUUCCCUCAGAAUGGUUGGAAAUCAUUCAUAGAGUGUAAAGGCAUAAGGGAGCUUGACUGCGAGACCUACAAGUCGAGCAGGGUCGAAAGACGGACUUAGUGAUCCGGUGGUUCCGCAUGGAAGGGCCAUCGCUCAACGGAUAAAAGCUACCCCGGGGAUAACAGGCUUAUCUCCCCCAAGAGUUCACAUCGACGGGGAGGUUUGGCACCUCGAUGUCGGCUCAUCGCAUCCUGGGGCUGUAGUCGGUCCCAAGGGUUGGGCUGUUCGCCCAUUAAAGCGGUACGCGAGCUGGGUUCAGAACGUCGUGAGACAGUUCGGUCCCUAUCCGUCGUGGGCGUAGGAAAUUUGAGAGGAGCUGUCCUUAGUACGAGAGGACCGGGAUGGACAUACCUCUGGUGUACCAGUUGUCGUGCCAACGGCAUAGCUGGGUAGCUAUGUAUGGACGGGAUAAGUGCUGAAAGCAUCUAAGCAUGAAGCCCCCCUCAAGAUGAGAUUUCCCAACUUCGGUUAUAAGAUCCCUCGAAGAUGACGAGGUUAAUAGGUUCGAGGUGGAAGCGUGGUGACACGUGGAGCUGACGAAUACUAAUCGAUCGAAGACUUAAUCAAUUUUUAAA